UGGAGCUGCACGUACACGUUGGACUCGCCGCGUUUGGAUGCCAAUGUAGGUUCACAAAGCCAUGAGCAUUAACAGUAAAGCAACAUCCGCCUUUGUGUUUGUGUUUGCCACUGCUGCCCUAAAGUCUCUGGGAAACGGCCAGUGGAUCCAACUUUGAACCAGCACUAGCUCUGAACCAGCACCCGGUUCUUUCUGGUGGAAAAGGGAAAAUGAGAGCAUUCAAACUCGAUGAUAUGGGUUUCCUUCUAAGCACACAUCAAAGCACCGGGUGAAGAUGAGGUGUUCAGUCAAAGCCUUGGGGCACAACCAGGCGGCAGGAGAGGAGGUGCAUUGCUUGCUCAAGAUUGACCUCUUGGGUGUUCCUGGACCCAGCUUGAGAAGUUCUGCUGUAAAGAACUGGACAGGGGGCAGACAGGAUGCCUCCAAAUAUCCUAAAGCUGAAACUUCUGUCCUGGAUGUUUUAGUGUGAUCGCUACCUUAACACAGCCACUUCGACUCAGGAGGAACUUGGUAAUUAACAGAAUAGUUGCAUUAGAUGUGCUCAAACGAAACAUGGCAGACACAUGCUUCAGGACCAGGGUUAUGAAUUUGCUGGUUUAAACCAUUUCAUCCUGUAACCCAUGCUUGUUCCCUGCUGCACUCACUUCAGAAAAGUCUCGGAUUUUUAUUUGAAUUUUAUUAAUGGCAGAGCUUUAAACCUUUCCGCGUUGCCCUUUGAUGUGCCUGAAUCGGUGAGUCCAUGUGUGAGAGAGAUGUAGUUUUAUACUGAUGUUGCCCCCUCAUGCCCUCGAGGGCCCGAGCAGAUGAAGGCUCCCACCUGCCAGGAGGAACGUUCUCCCAUUCUCUUUAAGCAGUGCAGCAAAGGGAGCGCAAGCACUGUUCUGGAGUCCUGAACAUCAAAGCAUGGACAGUGAAUUGCCAAGCACCCCUUCGACCAGCUCUGUUACACGUGCACAUACUCUAGACAACCCUAGUGGACGCUUCAAACAGUUGAGAGUGCAAAAGCGGAGGCCUUCUGAUGCCUGCUACCAGAAAGCACAGAGUACAUCUGGACCAUGUACUCUAAGCCUCAAGAAAGUUCACUCCAAAUUUCUGUUAGAAUUAUUUAAUUAUAUAUAUGAGUUGUAUAGAUAUAAUUUAGAGUAAUUAAUGUGUCCAAGCUAAGAUUAAUAUAAUAUAUAUAAAAUAUAGAGUUUAUAUAUAUAUAUAAGUAAGUCCUUCUAUAAGUCCUUCUAUAAGUACAGCAGUGUUUUAACCUCAUCUUUAUCUGUAAUAAAGAUAAAGUGCUGUUGCCACAAACAACAUUUUGACAGCAUUCCAUUAAAAGUGAGCUACUGAUUAAUGGGUUUCUGUUCUUAUUUUUUAACCUGAGGGCACUUGUUAGUGCAGUCAGUAAAGCUUUAUUUGAAGCACGUAAAAUUUGUUGUUGUGGGUUUUUUUUUUUUUUGGAGACCACUUUCAUCAUUUCUGCAGUCAAGUAUUUAGACAUGAAGCUCUUUAUUCUUUUAGAGUUCCUGUUAGAGAUGAUACUUUUUCAGAUCAAAUAAUUUGUUCUCAGGCUUUGCCAAGGGAAACAAAUGCUGUUUUACACCCAUGCUGAAAAAUGUAAUAAACCUUUUAAGGUGCAUGUUUGAAUUUGUGUUUAUAAAAUUAUAUAUUUGAAUGCUAAGUGUUUAGCAAUGACUGCGUAUUAUUUUUCUACAACAUCUUGAUCAACAUGGUUAUUGAUUCUUUUCUAAUAGCAG